rnacentral:tRNA from 1 species
GCAGUGGUGGUUCAGUGGUAGAAUUCUCACCUUCCAUGUAGAAGACCUGAGGCCAAUUCCUAGCCAAUGCA